rnacentral:lncRNA from 1 species
UCCUUUAUUCUUUUAAAGUAGUAAUAAUAAUAAUAAUAUUAAAACGGUUGUAGUGCUGCAAACAACAGCUGCUGCUGUUGCCGCUUUCAUCCUCAUCCUUCUCCUUUUUUUCCUUCAUCCCCACUACUUGCGAAUGAACACAUUCGGUCCCCAUUGACAUUCAUUCCCUCACAAAUAUCUCUCCUCCUUUUUCACAUUUCUAAAAUUCUCACCUGAGCUUUUAAACAAGCUAGUCGGAUACAAUGUCAGCUCCGGCACCCACCAAUUCCACCGCUCCUCCUCCGGCCACACCCUCCGCGCCUCCUCCGGCCANNNNNNNNNNNNNNNNNNNNNNNNNNNNCCCCCCCCCGCCCCCCCUCCUCCUUCCCCCCCGCCCCCCGCUUCAUCUCCUCCCCCUCCCUCAUCCACUCCUUCACCUCCUUCAUCCUCGCCGCCGACUCCUCCUUCCAACACUCCAUCGCCUCCUUCAUCAGUACCCCCUCCGUCCACGCCGAAUCCAGUAACUCCGUCCCCUCCCGGGGGUGGUGGGAAUCGCAGCCCUCCGUCUUCUACCAGAUCUCCGCCGUCUUCCUCCGGUGGUUCUCCGCCGAACUCUUCUUCUCCUUCGUCGUCUUCGAGUCUAUCAACUGGAGUGGUGGGUGGGGUUGCGCUCGGGGG